CCUACGGGAGGCUGCAGUGAGGAAUAUUGGUCAAUGGCCGGAAGGCUGAACCAGCCAUGCCGCGUGAAGGUCAGUGCCCUAUGGGCGUUAAACUUCUUUUGUGCGGGAGCAAUAAUGGUCACGUGUGGACAUUCGAGAGUACCGUACGAAUAAGCAUCGGCUAACUCCGUGCCAGCAGCCGCGGUAAUACGGGGGAUGCAAGCGUUAUCCGGAUUUAUUGGGUUUAAAGGGUGCGUAGGCUGGGAGGUAAGUCAGCGGUGAAAUGCCCCCGCUCAACGGGGUGAAGUGCCAUUGAUACUGCCUGGCUGGAAUGCGGAUGCCGUGGGAGGAAUGUGUGGUGUAGCGGUGAAAUGCAUAGAGAUCACACAGAACACCGAUUGCGAAGACAUCUCACGAAUCCGCGAUUGACGCUGAUGCACGAAAGCGUGGGUAUCAAACAGGAUUAGAUACCCGAGUAGUC
rnacentral:rRNA from 1 species